CCCUCCGCACCGCCAUCUCAGCGGCGGCAGGACUACAUUUCCCAGAGCGCCGGGCGCGGAAUGGCGGCGGCUGGUGGCGCUGGGGAGCCGUGAGAGGCGACUCCGGCUGCAGCGCUGACACCGGCACCAGGAGCAGGAGCAGGAUGUAUACACUGCUGUCAGGGCUCUAUAAAUACAUGUUCCAGAGGGAUGAGUACUGUGUCCUGAUCCUGGGUUUGGACAAUGCUGGUAAAACUACCUUCCUUGAACAAACUAAAACCCGGUUUAACAAGAACUACAAAGGGAUGAGUUUGUCCAAAAUCACAACCACUGUAGGUUUAAACAUUGGAACUAUUGAUGUUGGCAAAACUCGGCUCAUGUUCUGGGACCUUGGUGGGCAGGAGGAGCUGCAGUCACUUUGGGACAAGUACUAUGCUGAAUCUCAUGGGGUGAUCUAUGUCAUUGACUCCACUGAUGAGGAGAGGCUCUCUGAGUCCAAAAGAGCUUUUGAGAAGAUGAUUACCAGUGAAGCUCUGGAAGGGGUUCCCAUUCUGGUGUUGGCCAACAAGCAGGAUGUAGAGACUUGUCUGUCGAUACCCGAUAUCAAGACAGCAUUUAGUGACUGCAUUAACAAAAUUGGGAAGAGAGACUGCCUGACACAAGCCUGCUCAGCCCUUACUGGUUUGAGCUUGCACUAAAAGAAUAACUCAUGGAAGUCAUGGCUGGGGAGCUGUGCAGACCAGCAAGGUGUUGCUUGGCAGCCCCAGCACAGAUGAUUACACAAAGAUGGAGCCAAGAUUGCAAGAUCUUAUACAACUAAUGUGAGGUUUGUGGCAAAAUGACCUCAAACCAGCUGUCAGCAAAGGGGUGAAUGAAGGAAUUGAAUGGAUGGUGAAGUGUGUGGUGAGGAACAUCCACCGCCCCCCAAGGAAGAAGGACAUCACGUAGGAGCUCCGAGCCACCCAAGCAAUGGACAGUCUCUUUCCACACACUUUGUGCUCCCUUUAAAGAAGGUGAUCCACUGGAUUCCUAUUACACCUGAUUCUUUCCUAAGUUUGGAGACAAAUAUUCUCUUCCUGUGUCCAAAAAAACCUUGAGCCAAGGAUUCCAACAGGGUGGGGGGUGGGAAUCUCUUACAUUAAGUAUUGUCAUUGGCCUCCAAGCAUCCUAUGUAGCAACCUACACAUUGUUGCCAAUGCAAAAGACUUAAUUUUCUACUAUCUUACUUUGUGAUUCCUGAUUUGUGAGUCUAACAAGCUGGAGGCUGGUGACAUGAAGGAACUCCUGAAGGAAAUGCAUAGGUGAAUGUGGAAGGGGGAGGAGCAGCCUGGGGAAUGGCUGUUCCUCCUAGCUGCCAAGGUCCUUGCUGCUCCAGCCCCAUGUUCCUCCAGGGUGUUGUGGCCCUGUUAUGCUGCUGUUUGUGUAGUGGGGAGAGACAGCAUUGAUUAGAACUUGAUUUUCACUCGGGGUGUUGAUUCAUAACUUUAACCUGUGGUAAAAGCAAAUGUGGAAAUCAGCAAAUGCACAAUGGUCAUUGGAUCAUGGAAUUGUUAAUGCUGGAAAAGACCUCAUCAAAUCCAGCUGUGCUGGUUGAAAUGGAUAUUCCUAGCAGGACACAGAUUCCAGAAGCACUGCCUUGCUCUGACUGCCAGUCUCUUUGUGCAUUCUCUUUAAUCCUAAGAGUAAUCUUCUGUAACUGGAGUGAAUCAAGGCCCUCUCUGUGAUCUUUCUAAGCUGAAAACAACCUCUAGGCAGGAAGAAAUCAGUAUGCAAUAAAGCUUCCUACUUAUUUGAA